AAGCUGGUAUGAAAGGUUUGACGAGAAAAUAACUGUCUCUAUUUAAAUUAAUUAAAAUUUUAUUUUUAAGUAAAAAAGCUUAAAUUUAUUUAAAAGACGAGAAGACCCUAUAGAAUUUUAUAUAAUUACUUAACUUAAAUUUUUUGAAUAUUAUUUUUAUUUUAUUUGCUUAUAUUUUAUUGGGGUGAUAGAAAAAUUUAAUAAACUUUUUUUUUAUUAAAACAUUAAUGUAUGAUUUAUUGAUCCAUUUUUAUGAUUAUAAGAUUAAAUUACCUUAGGGAUAACAGCGU
rnacentral:rRNA from 1 species